rnacentral:rRNA from 1 species
UACGUAGGGGGCAAGCGUUGUCCGGAUUUAUUGGGCGUAAAGAGCGUGUAGGCGGCCUUACAGGUCAGCUGUGAAAACUCGAGGCUCAACCUCGAGACGUCGGUUGAAACCGUAAGGCUAGAGUCCGGAAGAGGAGAGUGGAAUUCCCGGUGUAGCGGUGAAAUGCGCAGAUAUCAGGAAGAACACCCGUGGCGAAGGCGGUUCUCUGGGACGGUACUGACG